GACGAACGCUGGCGGCGUGCCUAAUACAUGCAAGUAGAACGCUGAAGGAGGAGCUUGCUUCUCUGGAUGAGUUGCGAACGGGUGAGUAACGCGUAGGUAACCUGCCUGGUAGCGGGGGAUAACUAUUGGAAACGAUAGCUAAUACCGCAUAAGAGUAGAUGUUGCAUGACAUUUGCUUAAAAGGUGCAAUUGCAUCACUACCAGAUGGACCUGCGUUGUAUUAGCUAGUUGGUGGGGUAACGGCUCACCAAGGCGACGAUACAUAGCCGACCUGAGAGGGGGAUCGGCCACACUGGGACUGAGACACGGCCCAGACUCCUACGGGAGGCAGCAGUAGGGAAUCUUCGGCAAUGGACGGAAGUCUGACCGAGCGACGCCGCGUGAGUGAAGAAGGUUUUCGGAUCGUAAAGCUCUGUUGUAAGAGAAGAACGAGUGUGAGAGUGGAAAGUUCACACUGUGACGGUAUCUUACCAGAAAGGGACGGCUAACUACGUG
rnacentral:rRNA from 1 species